rnacentral:rRNA from 1 species
GAUCCGGCACAUUGGGACUGAGACACUGCCCAGACUCCUACGGGAGGCUGCAGCAACGAAUAUUGCACAAUGAGCGAAAGCUUGAUGCAGCGACGCCGCGUGUGGGAAUAAGCCCUUCGGGGUGUAAACCACUGUCAGGGACUACCAAGCAAUGGGAGCUAAUACCUUCCGGCGUUGAGGAAUCCCAAAGGAAGCCACGGCUAGCUUCGUGCCAGCAGCCGCGGUAAGACGAAGGUGGCAAGCGUUGUUCGGAAUUAUUGGGCUUAAAGAGCAUGUAGGCGGCCCGACAAGCGUGGUGUGAAAUCCCUCGGCUCAACCGAGGAACUGCACCGCGAACUGUCAGGCUUGAGGCAAGUAGGGGCGUGUGGAACUCUUGGUGGAGCGGUGGAAUGCGUAGAUAUCAAGAGGAACGCCGGUGGCGAAGGCGACACGCUGGGCUUGUCCUGACGCUGAGAUGCGAAAGCCAGGGUAGCGAACGGGAUUAGAUACCCCGGUAGUCCUGGCCCUAAACGAUGUCCACUAGGUCGGUGGCUCUCUGACGGGUUACCGGCCGGAGCAAAAGUAUUAAGUGGACCGCCUGGGGAGUACGGUCGCAAGGCUAAAACUCAAAGGAAUUGACGGGGGCUCACACAAGCGGUGGAGCAUGUUGCUUAAUUCGAUUCAACGCGAAGAACCUUAUCCUGGGCUUGACAUACACGGAUGCCUACUGGGAAACCAGGCCGGUUGCCUUUCGGGGUGAAACGUGAACAGGUGCUGCAUGGCUGUCGUCAGCUCGUGUCGUGAGAUGUUGGGUUAAGUCCCGUAACGAGCGAAACCCUUGUCGUUAGUUGCCAGCGGGUCAUGCCGGGGACUCUAGCGAGACUGCCGGUGUUAAACCGGAGGAAGGUGGGGAUGACGUCAAGUCCUCAUGGCCUUUAUGCCCAGGGCCGCAAACGUGCUACAAUGACCGGUACAAACCGAAGCGAGACCGCGAGGUGGAGCAAAUCGGAAAAAGCCGGCCCCGGUUCGGAUUGUAGUCUGAAACUCGACUACAUGAAGUUGGAAUCGCUAGUAAUCGUAGAUCAGCUAUGCUACGGUGAAUGUGUUCCUGAGCCUUGUACACACCGCCCGUCAAGUCAUGGAAGCUGGUAGCACCCGAAGUCGCCACAAUUCAGUGGUGCCGAAGGUGAGAUUGGUGACUGGGACUAAGUCGUAACAAGGUA